UUGAUACUGUGGUUUGCUUCUUGGUUUUCCAGCUAAUGAGUGAAGGACCAAGGAAAACGCAGAAGCCAGCUAAGGACCUCCUAGAAUCCAUGCAGGAUGCCCAAUCUGCAUCACUGAAUGCUUGUAACUGCAGGUUAUUGUUGUUGGAAUAGAGGAGACCAAGGGAAGGACUACCUUUAAGGUAUUUGAGAAGAUGAAGAGCUGCAGCCCAAUGUGUUUCACAUGGUGCUAGUGCAGUGAUGACUAUGGGAUUUUGAGUGUGAUCAGAAGAAGUGGGAGAAUUUUGGGGUUCAAGUGUUUGCUCUAAGUUAUUUUCAGUUGGUGUUUGAAUAUCAGGAGAAGGGAAAUCAGGGCUUUCAUCUAUAGCAAUAGGAAGAGGAUUCUCAUCAUGGAUACUCUUAGUUUCAGAAAAAGGAAAAAUAGAUUCAUAAAAUUUUACAUGCCUUGAAACAUAGAUUUUGUGAUUUUCUAAGUUAUAAACUUUGUAACCUUUCUGACCAUGACUAUGGCCAAUGAAAACACAUUUGUAAGCUCUUUGUUCAAA